rnacentral:rRNA from 1 species
GACGAACGCUGGCGGCGUGCCUAAUACAUGCAAGUCGAACGCUUAUUUCCUUCCGUUUGUGUGCAGUCAAUUGGAGAGAGGAGUGGCGGACGGAUGAGUAACACGUGGGUAACCUACCCAUCAGAGAGGGAUAACACGUGGAAAUAGGUGCUAAUAUCGCGUAACAGUUUAUGCCGCAGUGUAUGAGAGUGAUAGUCUCGUUCGGGGGUGGGUGAUGGACGGAUCCGCGGUGUAUUAGCUAGUUGGUGUGGCAACGGCUCACCAAGGCGACGAUGCAUAGCCGACCGGAGAGGGUGAUCGGCCACCCUGGGACGGCGACACGGCCGAGACUCCUACUGGAGGAGGCAGUAGGGAAUCUUCGGCAACGGUCGAAAGACUGACGGAGCAACGCCGCGUGAGUGAAGAAGGUGUUCGGAUCGUAAAACUCUGUUGUUAGGGAAGAACAAGGCCGUUAGUAACUGUGCGUGGCUUGACGGUAUCUAACCAGAAAGCCACGGCUAACUACGUG